ACUCUUUCUACAGCAGAUGUGUCUCUCUCCCCACAGUGGGAUGGCGAGCUUGUUAAAUGGCCGUGAGGAAGACUUUAUUCAGGACCAUCGAGACAGUGGGGUUGCACCUUCAUGUGAGGACGCCGGGAGAAGACAGCCGUCUGGGAGCCAAGGAGAGAGGCCUUGGCGGAAGCCAACCCUGCAGCACCUUCAUCUUGAAUUUCUGGUUUCCAGAACUGUGAGAAAAUCCAUUGACGUUCUAUAGCGCUCCCAGCUGGCGGUACUUUGUUAUGACAGCCCUAACAUGAAUGCAGCCAUCCACACUGUCUGGGGGAAGGCACACACACCCCACAGCACCCUUGCUGUCUCACCCCGUAUCGCAAAAGCUCACGCAUGUGUCUCUCCCGAGUCCCUGGAGGGUCCUGCCACCUACAUCUCUCUCCUUGGCCUGCCGCCUGUGAUGCUCCUGGGCCCCCUGCUCCAGCACCGCUCCCUUCCUUCUGUAAUACAGACAACAGAGACAGGAGAUGGCCUGGCCCCACUUCAUUUCUGUUCCCUGGGAAAUAAGCAUCGCAAGUGAUCCGUAGAAUGGUAGACAUCAUCCACUUCCCAAGCAUCUCUGGCUGAAUGCUGUUCUCAUCCACUUCCCAAGCAUCUCUGGCUGAAUGCUGUUCUACACAUGCACGUGGGAGGCACCAGGGAGCCCAGAAGAAAUGAAAAGCCUGGGCAGACUCGCAGUUCUGCCACACAGUGAAUGUGCUACUCAAGCCACUCAGCCUGGGCUGCAGAGGUUGGAAGCCUCACUGGCCUGAGGUUUCUG
rnacentral:lncRNA from 10 species